GGAGGGAUGGCAGAGUGGUCGAAUGCGGCGGUCUUGAAAACCGUUGAGGCGCAAGCCUCCGGGGGUUCGAAUCCCUCUCCCUCCGCCA
rnacentral:tRNA from 1 species